rnacentral:rRNA from 1 species
UCAGGAUGAACGCUGGCGGCGUGCCUAAUACAUGCAAGUCGAGCGAAUGGAUUAAGAGCUUGCUCUUAUGAAGUUAGCGGCGGACGGGUGAGUAACACGUGGGUAACCUGCCCAUAAGACUGGGAUAACUCCGGGAAACCGGGGCUAAUACCGGAUAACAUUUUGAACCGCAUGGUUCGAAAUUGAAAGGCGGCUUCGGCUGUCACUUAUGGAUGGACCCGCGUCGCAUUAGCUAGUUGGUGAGGUAACGGCUCACCAAGGCAACGAUGCGUAGCCGACCUGAGAGGGUGAUCGGCCACACUGGGACUGAGACACGGCCCAGACUCCUACGGGAGGCAGCAGUAGGGAAUCUUCCGCAAUGGACGAAAGUCUGACGGAGCAACGCCGCGUGAGUGAUGAAGGCUUUCGGGUCGUAAAACUCUGUUGUUAGGGAAGAACAAGUGCUAGUUGAAUAAG